rnacentral:rRNA from 1 species
AGUGAACGCUGGCGGUAGGCCUAACACAUGCAAGUCGAACGGCAGCACAGUAAGAGCUUGCUCUUACGGGUGGCGAGUGGCGGACGGGUGAGGAAUGCAUCGGAGUCUACUUUUUCGUGGGGGAUAACGUAGGGAAACUUACGCUAAUACCGCAUACGACCUACGGGUGAAAGCAGGGGAUCUUCGGACCUUGCGCGAUUGAAUGAGCCGAUGUCGGAUUAGCUAGUUGGCGGGGUAAAGGCCCACCAAGGCGACGAUCCGUAGCUGGUCUGAGAGGAUGAUCAGCCACACUGGAACUGAGACACGGUCCAGACUCCUACGGGAGGCAGCAGUGGGGAAUAUUGGACAAUGGGCGCAAGCCUGAUCCAGCCAUACCGCGUGGGUGAAGAAGGCCUUCGGGUUGUAAAGCCCUUUUGUUGGGAAAGAAAAGCAGCAGGUUAAUACCCCGCUGUUCUGACGGUACCCAAAGAAUAAGCACCGGCUAACUUCGUG